rnacentral:rRNA from 1 species
ACGCGAGCUGGGUUCAGAACGUCGUGAGACAGUUCGGUCCCUAUCUGUUGCGGGCGUGGGAAGUUUGCGAGGACCUGACCUUAGUACGAGAGGACCGGGUUGGACUGACCGCUGGUGUACCGGUUGUGAUGCCAAUUGCAUUGCCGGGUAGCUACGUCGGGAAGAGAUAAGCGCUGAAAGCAUCUAAGCACGAAACUCACCUCAAGAUGAGAUUUCUUUUAAGGGUCGUGGAAGACGACCACGUUGAUA